ACCCUACAGAGGAAAUUUUAAGGAAAUGUCUGCUUUGAAUACUCAAUAAAAUAUAAGACAAAACCAAAAAUGAUACAGUCUGCUGAAAUUCUGACAGCAAUGAUAAAAGAAUUUUCAAGUAACUGAAAUCCAGUGACAAAAAUGAAAUCGAUCAAGGCUGUAGUUGCACACCUGAGACAUUCCUCGAGAAGGCAGAGGAGAAAUCUGUGAAAAACAGUGAACCAGAGAAGGAUGGCCAGGGACAACAAAGAUUGGAGCUCUGAAGUUGAAUGACAGAUAUUCUGGAGAAACACACCAGAGAUGACAAAAAGGAUCCUUCUUUGAAUGAAACUUAGUAAGAUUCAUAUAAGCAACAGG
rnacentral:lncRNA from 1 species